GCAGAACUGAAAUUGUGUAAGCUCCGUUUCAAGGCCCUGAGGUCCAGACCCCUGGCUAUUCUUGACCUGCAGCAGCCUUUAACCCUUAGCUCCUGCAUCUCCAGCCUGAGCUUCCACCCAGCUGCUCUUGACCAGCUUUGUUCAUCUGCUCUUCAUGCCUUCAGUAUUAAAGAUGUCCCUCUCCAUGGAGAGCUGCCUGGAGCUGAGAGCGGUGUGACGGACCUGAAGCCAGCAUAGCACUGGUUCUUACCCAAGGCUCAAGGUGACCAUUGCCUGGUUUCUGCUGGUGUUUAUUCAAAGCCCAAGGGCUCUCCAGUCAGCAGGUGGUGAAUCUAGCCAGACUUGUAUCCUAUGCUUCAGGGCAAUGAGCUUCCCCUCAGCCUAAGGUGAGUCUAUGAAUGCCCUCUGGGAGUCAGGGUUGAAGUCAGAACACUCUGGAAUGUAUUUGGUUCUCUAUUCUACUGUGGCCAAGUUGUUACUCAAGCUGCAAAUCAACAUUCUUUCCACUCUUCCCUCUCCUUUCCU
ensembl:lncRNA